AUGGAGCACAGCGACGGCGAGCCGGCCGCCAGACAGCUCGACUUGCCCGCGGGACCGGGGCAGCAGCGGGAGCCGCCGCAGGCAGCGGAGGGGGAGGCGGAGCCCGAGGAGGAGGAGGAGGCGGUAACGGUGAUGGCGGCAGGCGCCGAGCACAUCGAGAUGGGAGCACCGCCAAUGCCAAGCGCCGACGAGGCCGCCGCCGCCGCUGCCUUCGCAGAAGUCACCACAGUGACAGUAGCCAACGUGGGGGCCUCUGCAGACAAUGUUUUCACCACAUCUGUGGCCAAUGCAGCCUCAAUUUCAGGACAUGUGUUGUCUGGGAGAACAGCCCUCCAAAUUGGGGACAGCUUGAACCCUGAGAAAGCCACUCUGAUAGUGGUGCACACGGAUGGCAGCAUCGUCGAAACCACCGGGAUCAAGGGGCCUUCGGCACCUCUCACACCAGGACCACAGUCUCCUCCUACCCCUUUGACAGCUGUCCAGGGGAAAAGUGGAACCAAGUACAACUGGGACCCAUCUGUGUACGAGAACGAGCUCCCGGUGCGGUGCCGGAAUAUCAGUGGCAUUCUGUACAAGAACAGGCUGGGCUCAGGAGGCCGUGGCAGGUGCAUUAAGCAAGGGGACAAUUGGUACAGCCCCACGGAGUUCGAAGCCAUGGCGGGGCGAGCCAGCAGCAAGGACUGGAAGAGGAGCAUCCGCUACGCCGGGCGGCCCCUGCAGUGCCUUAUCCACGAUGGGAUUUUAAAUCCCCAUGCUGCCUCGUGUACUUGUGCCGCUUGCUGUGACGACAUGACACUGAGUGGCCCUAUACGACUCUUUGUGCCAUAUAAAAGGCGAAAAAAAGAAAAUGAAAUACCAGCAACUCCAGUGAAAAAGAAUUGUUCCAAAAACAUCACUCUGCUUCCAGCCACUGCUGCAACUACGUUCACCGUGACUCCCUCUGGACAGAUCACAACCUCCGGGGCGCUGACCUUCGACCGCGCGUCCACCGUGGAGGCCACGGCCAUCAUCUCAGAGAGCCCAGCACAGGGGGAUGUUUUCACUGGAGCCACUGUUCAGGACACCAACGUCCAGCAGCCUUGCCGGGUGUCUCAUCCAGAGCCUCACUAUCCCAGUUACCAGGACAACUGCCAGAUCUCACCUUUCCCUGAGGCUGCACUGCCAACGUCUCAUCCCAAAAUCGUGUUGACCUCUCUGCCUGCCCUGGCAGUGCCCCCCACGACGCCCACCAAAGCCAUGUCGCCGUCGGUGGUGAACGGGCUGGAGGUGACGGAGCAGCGGAGCUGGCUCUACCUGGAGGAGAUGGUCAAUUCCCUGCUCAGCACAGCACAGCAGCUGAAGACUCUGAUUGAGCAGGCCAAGCAGGCCAGCUCCUCCUUCCGCGAGGCUGCUGUCACACAGGCCAAGAUCCAGGCCGAUGUGGAGAGGAAAGAGGCAUGAGUGUGCAGCGACAGGCCUGGAAGAGAGGUGUGGGAAGACUUUGCUGGAAGCUGAGGACCCCUAGGACAGUCCUUGCAGCCUCUUUGAUAUUCUUUGCCGUGUUGGCUCUGCUAAACUCUCCUGUAUGAUGCAUCUUUGAUGUGCAGUCUAUGUGCAUCUUCCCUUCUGUUUAUCCUCACAGUGGUUUCUGGAAUGUUUGUUCAAUCCCUUCUCCACACCCUCUGACCCCAAACCAGCUCUCUUUGAUGUUCUUCUAGUUACUUGUCCUGGGAAUGGGAGUUAGAAUCCCUCCUGUGUAUGGAUUAAAGCUGACUGGACAUGGGAAGGGUAAGCACAUGAUAUCCAGAGAAAGCCCCUUUCCCAGGAACUGCUGCAUGCCCAGUUAUACCACUUGUGUCUCACCAUUCUCAGUGUGUAAUGGGGACCUCCACACUUGUGCACUGUGGUGAAACCAUAUAGUCAUGGUGGUAUUUUUUUAUCAUCCAGACAAUUCUAAGCUGUGCUGGCUGCUGGAACCAUCCAGGCAGUAUCACAAGUAGCUAUCUCUGAAUUAAUUCCUGCUUGUGAACUCCAUAUUUGGACAAAACUCUGUGUUCCUGGAUACAGGGAAGCAAUUACACUAAAGGUCAAAGAAUUGUCUCUCUCCUUUUGUGUUGGUCAAAGGGCCUUUCCCUAUUUCCUAGUGGUUUGUAAUGUGAGGCUCUUUCCCACUCCAAGUAUGUGUGUGGUCCCAUGGCUUUUUGGGCAGUCAAUGUAUAUGAGAGGCAAACAGAGAGGCCAUCGUGCCCUUCAGGAAGGGAUUUUUUUCUGGACCAUUUUAAUACAAAGGAAAUUGGUGCAUAAUUACCACUUAGUUUGUUCCACUGAUAGAACUUCCAAGAGUGAGCAGUCAGGGGGAGCCUUUCCUGGCAGUGUCAUUGUGUUGGAGCUGCAGAGCAAGGAUGGGCCACAGAUGAGAUGAUAACAGAGCUGCAGACUCAGCUCUUCCUGGAAGAGUGACUUAGUACAGGGCAGUAUUGUAGAGAUCUGAUAGAAGCAGGCUGGUUCCCAACUGGAUACACAAACUUAGGUGCCUCGUAUGUUACACAUCACCCACUAUAGUGUGUUUUGGUAUUAUAUUUAUUAUUUAAUGAGCUUUGGAGUAAUUAAAUAGCACAAAUGAGCUGUCCUGCUCCCACAGAGCAGCAGUUAGGUUGCCUUAGCUUUAAACAGCAGGAGCUGUGCUCUGUGCUAGGCAGUGUCAGUGCUUGUGGGACUCACACAGCUCUGAAGUGAGGGGUUUGCACUCUGCCUCCCUCAUUGUACCAUCUCAGCCCUGUGUCAGGGGCUGGGGACAUCCUUAUCCCUUCUGAAGGAGCUGUUCCAAGUGCUGGAGAUAAAGGCUUCACCAGCAGGGAGGUUUUAGUAUAAUUUAGUAUUUUGGCAGUUCUGACAAGCACUCAGUUGCUCUCUUUGUACUUCUUAAUUUCUGUAAAUUUGUUCAAGGGUCACGGUUUGUUGGGCAAAUUUCAAGACUGAGGAUCUGCUUCAAAUUUUGUUUCCAUCUUUCCCACAAGGGAUUUUGAUGCCCCUGGGUAAGUCCUUGGCCUCACUGUGCCUCAGAUGAAAAUAACACUUCCUUCUCAGAGAGCUCAUGUGCAAGUUUGCAAAGUGUUAGGAUCCUCUGAGUAGGGUUGCAUUUGUGUUGCUUAGAAGUCCUGGGGAAUGAUAUCCCAAAAGAAAAGCAAACCAUGAGCCCUCAAGCUCCAUGUUUAUGUGAACUUCCAAAAUGCAUCAUGAUAUUGCAAAAAAUGGAAAAAAAAUGAAGAGAUUUAUAAGAUUUUUCUGCAUUGCAGCAUUUUGUGUGGGAUUUGUUAAAUACAACUGCUCUGCUUGAAUUUCAUGUGGCUGUUAAGAAACAAUUCUCAAGUAUCAUUAGUAAUUAGGUUGUGGAUGAGUAUCUGAUCCCCUGGUUAAUAUCUCCAUGUUGUCUUUACUGCAUUUUUCGGUAAGGAAAGACAUUUAGGAAUUUAGGUUGAGUGGGGUAGCAAAGGCUCGGUGUCUCUUGCAAUAGAUAUUUGACAUUUGCAGAUCAGGCCCAAAAUUAAGAGAUUAAAGGCAGGACUGAUGUGUUGGUGGGCUUGGGCAAUGUAAUUUUUCUGAGUGUGUAUUAAUCCAUUGUUUAUAUCAGAUAAACUUUAGGAUGGGGACAUUACACAUACUCACUAAAUUCUGUGCCAGAAUUGUUGGGGAAUAAUAAAGAGAUUCAGGAAAUGCAUUAACUGUAUUUUGUGUAUAAGUUGAAGAGAAUGAGUGUCAAAAUCCCACAAAUGUUUUAAUUGGAAUAGCCCUCUGUAAAGCAGAGAUGCUUCUGGAGCCCUGCCUGUUUGAAAGCAAGGUGGAAAAUUAAAUCAGCAAAGAGCUGAGGCAUCUGAAUGCUUUUUUAGAAAGAUCAAACCAAUUCAUGGCUGGAGAGUGUGAAAUUAAUCUAAAAAGGGUUGGACAGUUAAGAAAUAUGUCUCUGGUCAGCAAACAGUGGCUUGUGUAUUCCGAACUAGCAGUGAUACUCUUGGGAAUUGGAGAUUCUGGGUUUUGUGGAGCUGUUUCUGUGAGAGAUCUGAAUGUGUCUGGCUUGUUCCUCUCUCUUAUCACACCUUUUCCUUCUCCAUGGUUUGUACAUGGCUGGAAUUGCCUUGUCAAGUAUGGCAAAACCAAAUCACACCCCUGGCAGGACACAGCAAGAGGUUUCUCUGCCUCUGCCUCCAUCUGCCUGGAGUUUUUUAACUUAAUUUCUGUCACAGUAAUAUCAAGGUUUUGAAUAUCAAGGUUGUGGUUUCACAGGAGAAUAAAUACUCUGCUCUCAGGUCAUACACUUGUAAAUUAAGCCUUUAAUCUCCUUAUGUGUUGAGUCAACUCCUGGAUGAACCUGCUUGGCCUGGAGGAAUGGGUUCAGCUUUUUUUUUGACUUUUUAAUUGUUCCAAAUACAUUUAAGCCAGGGUUAGCAUAUAAUUAAUUCGGGAUUGGGUUUGGAUGCCAUUAGUUUGGGACUUCUGUCCCCCAUUGCUGAGCACGUUGCUACUGCAACAGGUACAGCAGCACCUGGUUGGGCUUGAGUUGGUGUGAAAUGAUUCUGCCAGGCAGCCAAAGUGGACUCUGAUCACCUCCAGAGGACUGAUGGAGACACAACUUGUUCUACAGCCCUCUCACUCUUCUGUUUCAAGGAGGAGUAAUGAUUAUGGUUAGUGCUGCUCCUAAAGUCUAAGCAAUACCAGAGCCAGUUAUUCCAACAAACAGAGGAUGUGGAUGGGAAGACAGAAAUCAUCAUCAAGCAAUCCUGUGCCAACUGCGGACGGGAGGCCACCAAUGAGUGCACAGGAUGCCACAAAGUCAACUA